rnacentral:piRNA from 1 species
UCACAAAGUGUAGGUGUUGAAACCAAGGA